rnacentral:rRNA from 1 species
AUUGAACGCUGGCGGAAUGCUUUACACAUGCAAGUCGAGCGGCAGCGCGGGGCAACCUGGCGGCGAGCGGCGAACGGGUGAGUAAUACAUCGGAACGUACCCAGUUGUGGGGGAUAGCCCGGCGAAAGCCGGAUUAAUACCGCAUACGACCUGAGGGUGAAAGUGGGGGAUCGCAAGACCCCACGCAGUUGGAGCGGCCGAUGGCGGAUUAGCUAGUUGGUGGGGUAAAGGCCUACCAAGGCGACGAUCCGUAGCGGGUCUGAGAGGACGACCCGCCACACUGGAACUGAGACACGGUCCAGACUCCUACGGGAGGCAGCAGUGGGGAAUUUUGGACAAUGGGGGCAACCCUGAUCCAGCCAUUCCGCGUGAGUGAAGAAGGCCUUCGGGUUGUAAAGCUCUCUCGGCAGGAACGAAACGGUAGGCUCUAACAUAGCCUGCUAAUGACGGUACCUGAAGAAGAAGCACCGGCUAACUACGUGCCAGCCGCCGCGGUAA